ACUACGGGAGGCAGCAGUGAGGAAUAUUGGUCAAUGGGCGCGAGCCUGAACCAGCCAAGUCGCGUGAGGGAAGACGGUCCUAUGGAUUGUAAACCUCUUUUGUCGGGGAGCAAAAGACGCCACGCGUGGCGUUCCGAGAGUACCCGAAGAAACAGCAUCGGCUAACUCCGUGCCAGCAGCCGCGGUAAUACGGAGGAUGCGAGCGGUAUCCGGAUUUAUUGGGUUUAAAGGGUGCGCAGGCGGAAGAUGAAGUCAGCGGUAAAAUUGAGAGGCUCAACCUCUUCGAGCCGUUGAAACUGGUUUUCUUGAGGGAGCGAGAAGUAUGCGGAAUGCGUGGUGUAGCGGUGAAAUGCAUAGAUAUCACGCAGAACUCCGAUUGCGAAGGCAGCAUACCGGCGCUCAACUGACGCUCAUGCACGAAAGUGUGGGUAUCGAACAGGAGUAGAUACCCCUGUAGUC
rnacentral:rRNA from 1 species